AAAGUACUCCCUCCGUUCGGAAUUACUUGUCACAAAAAUGGAUGUAUCUAUAACUAAAAUACAUCUAGAUACAUUUAUUUUUUGGACGAGUAAUUCCGAACGGAGGGAGUAGGUA
rnacentral:pre_miRNA from 1 species